GACGAACGCGGCGGCGUGCCUAAUACAUGCAAGUAGAACGCUGAAGAGAGGAGCUUGCUCUUCUUGGAUGAGUUGCGAACGGGUGAGUAACGCGUAGGUAACCUGCCUGGUAGCGGGGGAUAACUAUUGGAAACGAUAGCUAAUACCGCAUAAAAUUGAUUAUUGCAUGAUAAUUAAUUGAAAGAUGCAACUGCAUCACUACCAGAUGGACCUGCGUUGUAUUAGCUAGUUGGUGAGGUAACGGCUCACCAAGGCGACGAUACAUAGCCGACCUGAGAGGGUGAUCGGCCACACUGGGACUGAGACACGGCCCAGACUCCUACGGGAGGCAGCAGUAGGGAAUCUUCGGCAAUGGGGGGAACCCUGACCGAGCAACGCCGCGUGAGUGAAGAAGGUUUUCGGAUCGUAAAGCUCUGUUGUAAGAGAAGAACGGGUGUGAGAGUGGAAAGUUCACACUG
rnacentral:rRNA from 1 species